UGGAUUGCGGCGCUAUAAUGCAGUCGAGCGAAUGGAUUAAGAGCUUGCUCUUAUGAAGUUAGCGGCGGACGGGUGAGUAACACGUGGGUAACCUGCCCAUAAGACUGGGAUAACUCCGGGAAACCGGGGCUAAUACCGGAUAACAUUUUGAACCGCAUGGUUCGAAAUUGAAAGGCGGCUUCGGCUGUCACUUAUGGAUGGACCCGCGUCGCAUUAGCUAGUUGGUGAGGUAACGGCUCACCAAGGCAACGAUGCGUAGCCGACCUGAGAGGGUGAUCGGCCACACUGGGACUGAGACACGGCCCAGACUCCUACGGGAGGCAGCAGUAGGGAAUCUUCCGCAAUGGACGAAAGUCUGACGGAGCAACGCCGCGUGAGUGAUGAAGGCUUUCGGGUCGUAAAACUCUGUUGUUAGGGAAGAACAAGUGCUAGUUGAAUAAGCUGGCACCUUGACGGUACCUAACCAGAAAGCCACGGCUAACUACGUGCCAGCAGCCGCGGUAAUACGUAGGUGGCAAGCGUUAUCCGGAAUUAUUGGGCGUAAAGCGCGCGCAGGUGGUUUCUUAAGUCUGAUGUGAAAGCCCACGGCUCAACCGUGGAGGGUCAUUGGAAACUGGGAGACUUGAGUGCAGAAGAGGAAAGUGGAAUUCCAUGUGUAGCGGUGAAAUGCGUAGAGAUAUGGAGGAACACCAGUGGCGAAGGCGACUUUCUGGUCUGUAACUGACACUGAGGCGCGAAAGCGUGGGGAGCAUACAGGAUUAGAUACCCUGGUAGUCCACGCCGUAAACGAUGAGUGCUAAGUGUUAGAGGGUUUCCGCCCUUUAGCGCUGAAGUUAACGCAUUAAGCACUCCGCCUGGGGAGCACGGUCGCUAGGUUGAAACUCAAAGGAAUUGACGGGGGCCCGCACAAGCCUUGUAGCAUGCGUUUUAAUUCUAAGCAUCGCGUAUAACCUUACCAGGUUCUUGUCUACUUCUGGAUACCUUUUAAAUUCGGGUAUCUUCUU
rnacentral:rRNA from 1 species